rnacentral:rRNA from 1 species
CCCGCGUACCAUUAGCGUAGUUGGUAGGGUAACAGCCUACCAAGGCAACGAUGGUUAGCUGGUCUGAGAGGAUGGCCAGCCACACUGGAACUGAGACACGGUCCAGACUCCUACGGGAGGCAGCAGUGGGGAAUCUUGCGCAAUGGGGGAAACCCUGACGCAGCAACGCCGCGUGGGUGAUGAAGGCCUUCGGGUCGUAAAGCCCUGUCAGGUGGGAAGAAACGUGCCGAUGCAAAUAGCGUCGGCAUUUGACGGUACUACCGGAGGAAGCACCGGCUAACUCCGUGCCAGCAGCCGCGGUAA